CUUUAUGAAAAAGCCCCAAAUCUGGCUUGUUACUCUGCCUGCCAUAAACCUACAGAAAGUUGGGGAGGAAGUGGGGGACUAAAAAGGACCACGCAUAUACCCCUGCAGUGGCAGGACUUCUUCAACACACACCACAACUGUGUGUGGCAGUGACACGCAUAGAAAACUACUCAACAAUGAAAAAGGACGGGUUACCAAGUGACAGACGUGGGGAAUCACAAGAGCAUUCUGCUGAGCAAAGGUAGUCCCAGGCGAACAGCACGUGCUAUAUCUGCCUGAGAGUAUGAACCCCAAGCCAGGCAAGACCCCCCUGCAGGCCACAUCACUGUUGGCCGGGGUGGGGCGGGGACUACAAAGGGCUCCAGGAACUUCUGAGGGCCGUGGAAAUGCUCCAUCUGGACAGGUGUGUCCCCCAGUCAAGGUCCACACCUGGAGGAUUCAGUUGUCUGUCACAGUAUCUCAAAGAGAAAGACAGAAGGGAUAAGAGGGGGACAAGGGGAAAGGAGGGGGGAGAGGGGGAGAGCAGGAAGAAAAGCUCUCCCCAGACCCCUCCAGGCCCUGCUUCUGCCGCAGUGGAGAUGGCGCUGACCACGAACCGCAUCGCAAGGUGCCGGAGUCACGGACUAGAACGAGUGCCCUCGUGUAGGCCUGAGCGUUCUUCACUGCGUCUCAAGCCCUGGGACAAUGAGCUCUGCCACACACCAGGGAUUCUGAUGUGUCACUGCAACAGAAUGUGGUAACGCCAGGGAAGUGACAGAAACGGCAGCUUUCCGUGGAGGGCUCCAACGGUCACCACACAGCUACCAAGCUAACGUGCAGACUGUGUCUUCAAAUGCUAAGUAAACAUUAAAUUCU
rnacentral:lncRNA from 1 species